rnacentral:sRNA from 1 species
GCCGGGCAUGGUGGCACAUGCCUGUAGUCCUAGCUACUUGGGAGGCUGAGGCAGCAGGAUCAUCGUGUGCUAUGUUGAUUGGGUGUCCGCACUAAAUUCCACAUCAAUAUGGUGACCUCCCAGUAGCAGGGAGCCACCAGGUUGCCUAAGGAGGGGUAAACUAGCCCAGAUCAGACAUGGGGUAGGUCACAAAGAAAGAGUGUGUCCUCUUUGUACAUGGAAGAUACAAGUGGACCAAAUGGAAGAACACUAUGGCCUGUAUCU